rnacentral:rRNA from 1 species
UACGAAGGGUGCAAACGUUGCUCGGAGUUAUUGGGCGUAAAGCGCACGUAGGCGGCUUAGCAAGUCGGAUGUGAAAUCCCUCGGCUCAACCAAGGAAGUGCAUCCGAAACUGCUGAGCUUGAGUACGAAAGAGGAUCGCGGAAUUCCCGGUGUAGAGGUGAAAUUCGUAGAUAUCGGGAGGAACACCAGUGGCGAAGGCGGCGAUCUGGGUCGAUACUGACGCUGAGGUGCGAAAGCUAGGGGAGCGAACGGG